GACGAACGCUGGCGGCGUGCUUAACACAUGCAAGUCGAACGGUAAGGCCCUUCGGGGUACACGAGUGGCGAACGGGUGAGUAACACGUGGGUGAUCUGCCCUGCACUUCGGGAUAAGCCUGGGAAACUGGGUCUAAUACCGGAUAGGACCCUGGGAUGCAUGUCCUGGGGUGGAAAGCUUUUGCGGUGUGGGAUGGGCCCGCGGCCUUUCAGCUUGUUGGUGGGGUGAUGGCCUACCAAGGCGACGCCGGGUAGCCGGCCGGGGAGGGUGACCGGCCACACUGGGACUGAGAUACGGCCCAGACUCCUACGGGAGGCAGCAGUGGGGAAUAUUGCACAAUGGGCGCAAGCCUGAUGCAGCGACGCCGCGUGAGGGAUGACGGCCUUCGGGUUGUAAACCUCUUUCAGCACCGACGAAGCGCAAGUGACGGUAGGUGCAGAAGAAGGACCGGCCAACUACGUGCCAGCCGCCGCGGUAA
rnacentral:rRNA from 1 species